rnacentral:rRNA from 1 species
CAGUCGAGCGGAAUACAAAUGUACUCGUACAGGCGGUAUUUUAGCGGCGGACGGGUGAGUAACACGUGAGCAACCUGCCUUUUGCUGGGGAAUAACAUUGGGAAACCAGUGCUAAUACCGCAUGACGUCAACGGGGGACAUCCCCUGAUGACCAAAGGGGAAAUCCGGCAGAAGAUGGGCUCGCGUCCGAUUAGUUAGUUGGCGGGGUAACGGCCCACCAAGACCGCGAUCGGUAGCCGAACUGAGAGGUUGAUCGGCCACAUUGGGACUGAGACACGGCCCAGACUCCUACGGGAGGCAGCAGUGGGGAAUAUUGGGCAAUGGGGGAAACCCUGACCCAGCAACGCCGCGUGAAGGACGAAGGCCUUCGGGUUGUAAACUUCUUUGAUCAGGGACGAAAGCAAUGACGGUACCUGAAGAACAAGCCACGGCUAACUACGUGCCAGCAGCCGCGGUAAUACGUAGGUGGCGAGCGUUAUCCGGAUUUACUGGGUGUAAAGGGCGUGUAGGCGGGUUUGCAAGUCGGGUGUGAAAGAUUCGGGCUUAACCCGGAGAGGUCAUCCGAAACUGCAGAUCUUGAGUGCUGGAGAGGAUAGUGGAAUUCCUGGUGUAGCGGUAAAAUGCGUAGAGAUCAGGAGGAACACCAGUGGCGAAGGCGGCUAUCUGGACAGUAACUG